GGUCUUAUGGUCUAGUGGUAUGAUUCUCGCUUAGGGUUUACCCUGAGUUAAAUUUGCGAGAGGCCCCGCGUUCGAAUCGCGGUAAGACCC